UACGGAGGGUGCGAGCGUUGUCCGGAAUCAUUGGGCGUAAAGGGCGCGUAGGUGGCGGCUUAAGCGUGCGGUGAAAGCUCGGGGCUCAACCCCGAGUCGGCCGUGCGAACUGAGUCGCUUGAGCACUGUAGAGGCAGGCGGAAUUCCGGGUGUAGCGGUGGAAUGCGUAGAGAUCCGGAAGAACACCGGUGGCGAAGGCGGCCUGCUGGGCAGUAGCUGACACUGAGGCGCGAAAGCCAGGGGAGCAAACGGG
rnacentral:rRNA from 1 species